rnacentral:rRNA from 1 species
GGGUGCGAUCAUACCAGCACUAAUGCACCGGAUCCCAUCAGAACUCCGAAGUUGAGCGUGCUUGGGCGAGAGUAGUACUAGGAUGGGUGACCACCCUGGGAAGUCCUCGUGUUGCACCCC